CAGUAGCCGCGGUAAUACGUAGGGUGCAAGCGUUAAUCGGAAUUACUGGGCGUAAAGCGUGCGCAGGCGGUUCGCUAAGACAGAUGUGAAAUCCCCGGGCUUAACCUGGGAACUGCAUUUGUGACUGGCGGGCUAGAGUAUGGCAGAGGGGGGUAGAAUUCCACGUGUAGCAGUGAAAUGCGUAGAGAUGUGGAGGAAUACCGAUGGCGAAGGCAGCCCCCUGGGCCAAUACUGACGCUCAUGCACGAAAGCGUGGGGAGCAAACAGGAUUAGAUACCCCGGUAGUCCCUGUCUCUUAUAU
rnacentral:rRNA from 1 species